rnacentral:rRNA from 1 species
AAUAUAGGACAAUGGGGGCAACCCUGAUCCAGCCAUGCCGCGUGUGUGAAGAAGGUCUUCGGAUUGUAAAGCACUUUAAUUUGGGAGGAAGGGCUUUAGGUUAAUACCCUGAAGUCUUGACGUUACCAACAGUACAAGCACCGGCUAACUCUGUGCCAGCAGCCGCGGUAAUACAGAGAGUGCAAGUGUUAAUCGGAAUUACUGGGCGUAAAGAGCGCGUAGGUGGUUCAGUAAGAUGGGUGUGAAAACCCCGGGCUUAACCUGGGAGCUGCUUUCAUAACUGCUGAGCUAGAGUACGGUAGAGGGUAGUGGAAUAUCCUGUGUAGCGGUGAAAUGCGUAGAUAUAGGAAGGAACACCAGUGGCGAAGGCGACUACCUGGACUGAUACUGACACUGAGGUGCGAAAGCGUGGGGAGCAAAC